UUUAAGUUAUUUUUAUUUUACUCUAUUUUUAAUUUAAAAUUUUUUGUUUUAAUUUUUAUAAUUUUUAUUAUUUUUUAAAACCUUCAACUCCAACGGUUCUCAGUGUAGGCAAUGAUGAUUCAUCAGCGCCUGCAGUGUUCUCGUGGCAGCACCCUCAAAAGCGCCAAAACGGGUAUUUUCCUUUGCCCACAUCGCCUCUGUUUAACCUUGCCCGCCCUUGCUGGGUCCCAGCACCGUUAGGAGCGCCGACUUGGCGUUUUUUGCCCGUUGCCGCUGCGGACAGUGCACCGGCCGGCGUUUUCUCCGUGUUCGAUUCCGGUAGAGCGAAGCUGGCGGUUUCUCGCUCGUGGCACCGCUGGUGGCGCGGAGCCGUCCCUUUCUCGGUCGCAGCCCGCCGCCUUCCCCACGCCCCCGAAGGUGUGGCUGCCACUGAGACUACUUGGGUGGAGCCGCUUUCGAUUUCGCAAGUUCCGUUUGAGCUGUGCUUCUGAUUUCACGCUAGUACAAGUCGGGGUGUCCAGUGUGGGCCAUUUUAGGCGUAGCAAACACCGCUUUAGCGGUGACUGAUUUCUUAGUCCCAGAAGUCCCGCUGUAGAGGUAGCAACAGGCGCUGGUUUAGGCGUGACCGGGAAGAUCGGAGGACUGCGCUGUUCCACGGUGUUUGCUGUUUCUUCUUUGCAGCGGCGCUUUCUCCAAACGGCUUGCGUUUCCAGGUUGCUCCGGGCUGCGCUGCUGGGUCUCAGCCCCGCCGGUCACGGGCUCCCGCGCGCGGCGCCGCUCCUUACGCCCAGCCUGCGGUUUCGCCACAGCACUUUCUCCAGCAGCGCCAAGGCCGCGGAGGUUCGGUCGAGGCACCAAUAGUAGCGCUAAACAAGUCGAUUCUCUUUCUCAGAUCUCGGAGGACCUCUGUGCCGUCACUUUCUGAUAUGAGUAACGCUCCUUUCCUUGGCCGGUGGUUUCAGGGUCGCAGAACUGGGAUUUGCACCCAACUGGAGAUCCCUUAGCACCUUCGCUAGCACUGCUGAGCCGACCUGUUGUGUUUUGUUUCCUUUUUUGUUUGCAUCACAGCCCGAAAUUGCAUCGAAUGGGCGUUUUCUAGGUGGCAGCACCCUUCAUUCCUCCUAGCCUUACCGGGUCCUAGCACCGCUAGUUUCCCCCACUGGUCUCACGGUCCCAGCACCGCGGCUUCACCGAGCCCCUGUUCCCGUUACCACUUUCUCUGGUUCGCUAGAGCCAGUGGUAUUUCUGUCGCAAGAGCACAUUUGCAUCCAGUUGGCGGCAUUUUCUUGGUGUCAACACCGUUCAUUACUCCAAAGCGACUGUUUCUCAGAGCCGGGUGUUUCUCGGGCCGGCACCGCUCUGUGCUCCUUGCCCGCAUCACUGGGACCCAGCAACGCGAGGUGCUCGCUGUCAGCGUUUCCUCGGCCGCGGCUGCGAUACGAGCAGGGACGGCGGGUCCUCAGUGGCCUCAGAUCGCUAGUGGAAGGAGCGGGCGGCUUUCGGUCGGGCCCGAGCACGGUUCAUUACUCCAAGCCCGAUGUCGCUGGGGCGCAGCACCGCUCCUUUCUCAGAGCCGGCAGUUUCUCUGUGGCAGCGCCUUUGAUAACUCCAAACGGAUAUUCGCCUUUGGCAACUGCACCACGGUUUGGCGCCGGCCGCUUCGCAGAGACUCUGGCUCCUCGGAUUUCUCUACAGCAAGGUGGCUAGCAGAGCCCCGGCGGGCAGGUUUUCGGUGGUUGCACCGCUCAUUUCGCAGAUAGACGGUUUUGUGGUCUCUGCACCACCGCUAAUGGAUCACAGUGUUUUCUACAGUUAGCGCUCUCUGCAGUUUGCUUCAGGGUGCCUUUCGUUUCUCUCUUCCUCGCUCCCCAAAAGCGAUUUCUUACUCCUUGUAUGCGCAGACUUAGUCGAAAGCAGUCCUGGUUUAACCAUGCUUGCGAUUAUGCGCAGACUUAGUCGAAAGCAGUCCUGGUUUAACCAUGCUUGCGAUUCUUUAGUCGUUAUUUAUUUUUUAAUUCUUAUAUUUUUAAAUAAAAAUUAAAACUAAAGAAGAUAAAAUGAAUGAUAAAAGUUUAAGAUAAUAGAAAAUAAAAUAUAAUAAAAUUCUUUUUAUUUUUAUAGUUUAAAAUAAAAGCAUAAAAUAGUAAGACUAAAAUAAAGUAAAAUAAAAUAGUUUUAUAAUUUUUAUUUUUA
rnacentral:lncRNA from 1 species